GAUGAACGCUGGCGGCGUGCCUAAUACAUGCAAGUCGAGCGAACAGAUGAGGAGCUUGCUCCUCUGACGUUAGCGGCGGACGGGUGAGUAACACGUGGAUAACCUACCUAUAAGACUGGGAUAACUUCGGGAAACCGGAGCUAAUACCGGAUAAUAUAUUGAACCGCAUGGUUCAAUAGUGAAAGACGGUUUUGCUGUCACUUAUAGAUGGAUCCGCGCCGCAUUAGCUAGUUGGUACGGUAACGGCUUACCAAGGCAACGAUGCGUAGCCGACCUGAGAGGGUGAUCGGCCACACUGGAACUGAGACGCGGUCCAGACUCCUACGGGAGGCAGCAGUAGGGAAUCUUCCGCUAUGGGCGAAAGCCUGACGGAGCAACGCCGCGUGAGUGAUGAAGGUCUUCGGAUCGUAAAACUCUGUUAUGAGGGAAGAACAAAUGUGUAAGUAACUAUGCACGUCUUGACGGUACCUAAUCAGAAAGCCACGGCUAACUACGUG
rnacentral:rRNA from 1 species